CCUACGGGAGGCAGCAGUGGGGAAUAUUGGACAAUGGGCGAAAGCCUGAUCCAGCCAUGCCGCGUGUGUGAAGAAGGCCUUCGGGUUGUAAGGCACUUUCAGUGGGGAAGAAAGCCUUGGGGCUAAUACCCUCGAGGAAGGACAUCACCCACAGAAGAAGCACCGGCUAACUCCGUGCCAGCAGCCGCGGUAAUACGGAGGGUGCGAGCGUUAAUCGGAAUUACUGGGCGUAAAGUGCGCGUAGGCGGUCUGAUAAGCCGGUUGUGAAAGCCCCGGGCUCAACCUGGGAACGGCAUCCGGAACUGUCAGGCUAGAGUGCAGGAGAGGAAGGUAGAAUUCCCGGUGUAGCGGUGAAAUGCGUAGAGAUCGGGAGGAAUACCAGUGGCGAAGGCGGCCUUCUGGACUGACACUGACGCUGAGGUGCGAAAGCGUGGGUAGCAAACAGGAUUAGAUACCCGGGUAGUC
rnacentral:rRNA from 1 species